CCGAGUUUACAACUCCCAAGCCCAAUGUGAACGUUACCAAACUGUUGCCUCGGCGGGAUCUCUGCCCCGGGUGCGUCGCAGCCCCGGACCAAGGCGCCCGCCGGAGGACCAACCAAAACUCUUAUUGUAUACCCCCUCGCGGGUUUUUUUUAUAAUCUGAGCCUUCUCGGCGCCUCUCGUAGGCGUUUCGAAAAUGAAUCA
rnacentral:misc_RNA from 1 species